GUUUCAUGAUAAGAAUUUCAUGUCUUUUGUAUUAAAGAAUUAAAUGGAUGAAAUAUGAAGUUUUAUUAAAAGAAAAAGGGGUGAAAAGAACAAAGUUUUGUCCAUCUUUGUUCAUCAUAGCUGAAAGUUAGAGAAGAGAAAGGAGAGGAGAAAGCUCUUGAGUAUUUGGUCAUUAGGAGGAGGAAAAUUGAAGGCGGUUCGUGUGUGGAUCUCGUCAGCAUAUCGUCGCAAUCAGGAAAUCCCCAACCAUAGUGGGCUUGGAGCUGUGAGGGAAUUCGGAGUGGCCACCCGUUCUGAAAGUUUGAUUUUCUUCUGGUGAACUGGACAUCCUUUUAUUUACGUUUGAAGUUUUUGGGCUUUUAAAUGUAAUAAGGCCGCUUAAUUAUUUUUGAUGGUUUUAAUAUGUAUUACUAAGAUAGGUAAUACUUAUUUUAACUGUUGAAAUUAGAUAGCUUUAGGGCAAGUUUUCAAAAACAA